AGUGAACGCUGGCGGUAGGCCUAACACAUGCAAGUCGAACGGCAGCACAGUGAGAGCUUGCUCUUACGGGUGGCGAGUGGCGGACGGGUGAGGAAUACAUCGGAAGCUACUUUUUCGUGGGGGAUAACGUAGGGAAACUUACGCUAAUACCGCAUACGACCUACGGGUGAAAGCAGGGGAUCUUCGGACCUUGCGCGAUUGAAUGAGCCGAUGUCGGAUUAGCUAGUUGGCGGGGUAAAGGCCCACCAAGGCGACGAUCCGUAGCUGGUCUGAGAGGAUGAUCAGCCACACUGGAACUGAGACACGGUCCAGACUCCUACGGGAGGCAGCAGUGGGGAAUAUUGGACAAUGGGCGCAAGCCUGAUCCAGCCAUACCGCGUGGGUGAAGAAGGCCUUCGGGUUGUAAAGCCCUUUUGUUGGGAAAGAAAAGCAGCAGGUUAAUACCCCGCUGUUCUGACGGUACCCACAGAAUAAGCACCGGCUAACUUCGUG
rnacentral:rRNA from 1 species